UAAACUUUUGGUGCAAAUUAUUUGGUCGGCAACACCGUUUCCACUUUGACGCUUUGCUUUGUUAUUAUUCGUUGAAAAUCUUUUAUCUGUUUGUAAACAUUCAAGUCGAUUAUGUCUUACAUAUGGUGAUAGUCGAUUAUUUGGAGUCGGCUUUCUGCUGCAGAAAACCCCCGGUUUGUGAAUUUUCAUACACGUUUUUAUAGCAGCGUUUUUGCAAAUAUAAUAGAGACCACCUUACAUACAAUACAUAAACUACAGUUAGACUUCACAGACGAGCAAUUGCUGCGGAAGGUGUGUGUUGAAGAGCUAGGUGGCCCAACUAUUGUGGUUUUUAGAAACGAAAGCACGUAUGCACGUAUUUCUACCAUUGUCUCAUGUGGUGCUACGGACAAUUUCAUAGGAGACAUGGAGCGUGUUGUGUAUGAUGGUGCAAAUACCUGUUUAACAUGUGACGGUCAUUAUGUGCCUAGUACUGCUACCUCUGAAAUCAAUUUGACUUCCGAACUGGCUGUCCACGUCGAUACCUUACCCCAUCUAGAUCAAUAUGCUGUACGUAGAUGUAUGCGCAACACCUACACGAGCAAGUCCUCGCGCUUUAAGUCUACAAUUACAGAUAAGUUGUAAUGAUAUAUUUGUGAGUUAUUUUUAAGUUUUUGGUUUACAGGUUUUUGAUUUCUGCCUGAAGUAAGUGCAGUGUUCCAACACCUAUACGAGCAAGUGCACCCACAUUCCUCAUAUUUCCUCUCCGAUUCAUUACUGAGACACGUGGUAUUGAUAUACGUAAAUUUACAAACCAUCAGAAUUACUAAAAGUGGAUUAUAUUACCAACAUCUAAAAUUUUUCGAUGUAUUGGUUUUAGUCUAUAUUAAUACAUUUUCCUAUUAAUAUUAGGGACGCAAAGUAUAUUAAAGUACACAAAUUUUAAACUAUAAACUAGUAAAUUUGUAAUUUUUAUUGCAAACUAUUUUAACUUCUAAUUUCAAUUUUUUUCUUAUAUUUAGAAAUGAUCGACUGAAACUAUUUUAACUUCUAAUUUCAAUUUUUUUCUUAUGUUUAGAAAUGAUCGACUGAACUUCUGCUUUCGCAAUGUCUUUACGGUAACAUAAAUAUAUACAUAUAUAUAUAUAUAUAUACAUAUAUAAUCAUGCAAUAGAUUUGAGUAUAUUUUGUGCAAGAGAACAAAAAAUAGUCAUAAUAAAGGAAUUUAAUAUGUUUAAUUUACUACAAUAGUACAAGUCUUUUAAUACACCAAAGGUCAAAAUAUACUUAAUCGACAGGAAUGAGAUGAAACAGAAAGUUUAAUUUUUUUUCUUAUUUCGUGCAUAACAAUACAUGUAGGUACAUGUAGUAUGUUACCGUAAAGACAUUGCGAAAGCAGAAGUUCAGUCGAUCAUUUCUAAAUAUAAGAAAAAAUUGAAAUUAGAAGAGUUAAAAUAGUUUGCAAUAUAUAUAUAUAUAUAUAUAUUGUAUAUAUAUAACAUAUAUAUAUAUAUAUGUAAUUGGCGCGUACACCCUUUUUGGGUGUUUGGCCGAGCUCUUCCUCCUAUUUGUGGUGUGCGUCUUGAUGUUAUUCCACAAAUGGAGGGACCUACAGUUUCAAGCCGACUCCGAACGGCAGAAAAAAAAAACACAUACAUAAGUAACAUCCCAUAGUUCUGCGUGCUCUUGUGUUAGAUAAACAUCGAAAAUAUUCUAAAUAAAUA